rnacentral:rRNA from 1 species
CCAAGCGUUGUUCGGAUUCACUGGGCGUAAAGGGUGCGUAGGUGGCCAGGUAAGUUCGGUGUGAAAGCUCGGAGCUUAACUCCGAAAUGGCAUUGAAUACUAGCUGGCUAGAGGGUCGGAGGGGAGACUGGAAUUCUCGGUGUAGCAGUGAAAUGCGUAGAUAUCGAGAGGAACACCAGUGGCGAAGGCGAGUCUCUGGACGACUCCUGACACUGAGGCACGAAAGCCAGGGGAGCAAACAGG